AGUUUGAUCAUGGCUCAGGAUGAACGCUAGCGGCAGGCUUAACACAUGCAAGUCGAGGGGCAGCACGUCUUCGGAUGGUGGCGACCGGCGCACGGGUGCGUAACGCGUAUACAAUCUACCUUUUACAGGGGCAUAGCCCGGGGAAACCCGGAUUAAUAUCCCAUGGUAUCAUUUAGUGGCAUCACUUGAAUGAUUAAAGUUUCGGCGGUAAAAGAUGAGUAUGCGUCCUAUUAGUUAGUUGGUAAGGUAACGGCUUACCAAGGCAGCGAUAGGUAGGGGUCCUGAGAGGGAGAUCCCCCACACUGGUACUGAGACACGGACCAGACUCCUACGGGAGGCAGCAGUGAGGAAUAUUGGACAAUGGGCGAGAGCCUGAUCCAGCCAUGCCGCGUGCAGGAAGACUGCCCUAUGGGUUGUAAACUGCUUUUAUACGGGAAGAAACACCCCCACGUGNGGGGGCUUGACGGUACCGUAUGAAUAAGGAUCGGCUAACUCCGUGCC
rnacentral:rRNA from 1 species